ensembl:lincRNA
CUAAAAAUGAUUACAUUAAAGGUAAACUGGUGAAAGUCAUUCUGAGAUUAAAGAGCAAUUUGCUUUUCAAUACGUUGCAUAACAGAGGCUCCAAAUGAAGGAAAGUAGAGAAGCCUGAGCUGGAGGAAAACACAGUCGUGCAAUGUUUUAGGACCCCAGACCUGCAAGGGAGAAGCUGAAGGUCCUUCUGGAGGUUUCCUCAUGGAAAGAUGGAUGAAAACAGAAUGUGGCCUCCAUCAAUGUAGCACAACAUUAGGACACAUCGAUCCCAAGAUCCCUAUAAAAAGGAGACAACUUAGACAGCCCAGAUUAAAUUGGUCCACUGGAGUACCUAUUGAAGAGCCAUGUCGAAAUUCAGCCUCUUAAAGCACAGCCUCUUAAAACCCACGCUGUAGUCACUCUCUUCUAAACUCUGCUUUCUUAAAGAUUGACUUACUUUCUUUACUGGGGAUCUUGAAUGAGAAACUUCUCUGGAGAGAAUUCAAGUCCGGGCAGUAUGGCUGGCACGGGCCUAGGGAGAGAUCACUUCGGUGACCGCUGAAACAAACAGCACCUGUGAGCUAGCACACGGCAGUUGUUUAAUUAAGCACAGCAUCACAUGCAGAGCGAUUUCUGAUGGGAAAUGAAGAUCCCACUGGAAACUGCUAGGGGCAUUAGACAAGCAAAAUGUAAUUAUCUGAACUGAAAUCCAGCUGACAUCUCUGACAACAAAUACCAGGGGAUCUUUAAGGAUCAGAUGCUCCAUUUUAAGUCAGUGUUUCUGGCUUCAGUGUUCUCUGCUCCCCUUUCGUCCCCCCAAGGUGGAGAGAGCACCUCACACUGAGUCACCAGCAUGCACUUUGUCUGCCAAUUCUUUCUGCUAGCAGAGAGGAGGUCGGGCUUACACCAGCAGAGUAAUUGAGACAUGUAUCCAAAUAUUUUAGGCCAAAUGAAUUUUGAUUCUUUCCAAAUUAAAAGAAUCAUAUAAUAUUUAUAGAAGCUAGAAUUCUGCCUUGCCCUCUUUCCUAUCCCAGAUAGAGCCAGUUUCCCUUGACUUUUUAAAGUAGACACUUGGAGAUAGGGUAUCUUGGAUUGGCCCUUUGUGGCGCCCAGUGAAGACAUUAAUUUAAGUUGUGUCUUUUGUAAAUGAAUCUUUUAGGAAAGAACUCUUGGACCUUUCAGCCAUGGACGUUGCUGCUGCUGCUGCUGCUGCUGUUGUUGUUGUUGUUGUUGUUGUUGUUGUUGUUUUAAGACAGAAACUAAGUGAACAGAUUAAAACCAGGAUAUGAUCUGAGCUGUGCAAUGCUUGGUCUUGGGAUUUUAAGUACCUCAAGUGAGAUGAGAGACCACAAUCACAAAGAAGGACUCUUUGCCUUAAGAAUAAAAAAAAAAUGAAAACUUUGAAAGUUUUCAAGAAUAUUAAGAAUUAGAGAUAGAAAAGAUGUCUUUGUUCAAUUAUCUUUUAAUGGUGAAGGCAUAGUUCUUCUGGUCUGUAUAUCAUGGAUGUACUCCAUUUUAAUUUUUAAUAUUUCAGUUCACAUUAGCUGAAGUGCCUUCCCUUGAGAGGAUUUUUAUAAUCUGUCUUAGCUGUUAGAAAAUUGUUGCUGGUACUUUACUUAGCUCAAUUUUUCCUCUGUUUAGGUUUGUGCUACUAGUCUUAAUUACAUUCUGUUAGACUUCUCUAAAUAGUUAUUUCCUUUACUCCUUGAUUUAUUUACUUCAUCAUACGAAAACUACUGGUUACUUGCUGAACAAAUUGUCAUUGUCUCUCUCAUUAUUUUAUUUGCUUUGAGUCCUCUCCUCAUUGCCCCUUUAAAGAGAGUGAGCAUUGG